AAUAUUGGACAAUGGGCGCAAGCCUGAUCCAGCAACUCCGCGUGAGGGAUGAAGGCCUUCGGGUCGUAAACCUCUGUCAGAAGGGAAGAACUCCCCCAUCCCAAAUAGAGUUGGGGGCUGACGGUACCUUCAAAGGAAGCACCGGCUAACUCCAUGCCAGCAGCCGCGGUAAUACGGAGGGUGCAAGCGUUGUUCGGAAUUAUUGGGCGUAAAGCGGGUGUAGGCGGCUUUGCAAGUCAGAUGUGAAAUCCCUGGGCCCAACCCAGGAACUGCAUUUGAUACUGCAUCGCUAGAGUCCCGGAGAGGAUGGCGGAAUUCCAGGUGUAGAGGUGAAAUUCGUAGAUAUCUGGAGGAACACCAGUGGCGAAGGCGGCCAUCUGGACGGUGACUGACGCUCAGACCCGAAAGAGUGGGGAGCAAACAGGAUUAGAUACCCUGGUAGUCCAUGCCGUA
rnacentral:rRNA from 1 species